GAUGAACGCUGGCGGUGUGCCUAAUACAUGCAAGUCGAGCGAACGGACGAGAAGCUUGCUUCUCUGAUGUUAGCGGCGGACGGGUGAGUAACACGUGGAUAACCUACCCAUAAGACUGGGAUAACUUCGGGAAACCGGAGCUAAUACCGGAUAAUAUUUUGAACCGCAUGGUUCAAAAGUGAAAGACGGUCUUGCUGUCACUUAUAGAUGGAUCCGCGCUGCAUUAGCUAGUUGGUAAGGUAACGGCUUACCAAGGCAACGAUGCAUAGCCGACCUGAGAGGGUGAUCGGCCACACUGGAACUGAGACACGGUCCAGACUCCUACGGGAGGCAGCAGUAGGGAAUCUUCCGCAAUGGGCGAAAGCCUGACGGAGCAACGCCGCGUGAGUGAUGAAGGUCUUCGGAUCGUAAAACUCUGUUAUUAGGGAAGAACAUAUGUGUAAGUAACUGUGCACAUCUUGACGGUACCUAAUCAGAAAGCCACGGCUAACUACGUGCCAGCAGCCGCGGUAAUACGUAGGUGGCAAGCGUUAUCCGGAAUUAUUGGGCGUAAAGCGCGCGUAGGCGGUUUUUUAAGUCUGAUGUGAAAGCCCACGGCUCAACCGUGGAGGGUCAUUGGAAACUGGAAAACUUGAGUGCAGAAGAGGAAAGUGGAAUUCCAUGUGUAGCGGUGAAAUGCGCAGAGAUAUGGAGGAACACCAGUGGCGAAGGCGACUUUCUGGUCUGUAACUGACGCUGAUGUGCGAAAGCGUGGGGAUCAAACAGGAUUAGAUACCCUGGUAGUCCACGCCGUAAACGAUGAGUGCUAAGUGUUAGGGGGUUUCCGCCCCUUAGUGCUGCAGCUAACGCAUUAAGCACUCCGCCUGGGGAGUACGACCGCAAGGUUGAAACUCAAAGGAAUUGACGGGGACCCGCACAAGCGGUGGAGCAUGUGGUUUAAUUCGAAGCAACGCGAAGAACCUUACCAAAUCUUGACAUCCUUUGACAACUCUAGAGAUAGAGCUUUCCCCUUCGGGGGACAAAGUGACAGGUGGUGCAUGGUUGUCGUCAGCUCGUGUCGUGAGAUGUUGGGUUAAGUCCCGCAACGAGCGCAACCCUUAAGCUUAGUUGCCAUCAUUAAGUUGGGCACUCUAAGUUGACUGCCGGUGACAAACCGGAGGAAGGUGGGGAUGACGUCAAAUCAUCAUGCCCCUUAUGAUUUGGGCUACACACGUGCUACAAUGGACAAUACAAAGGGCAGCGAAACCGUGAGGUCAAGCAAAUCCCAUAAAGUUGUUCUCAGUUCGGAUUGUAGUCUGCAACUCGACUACAUGAAGCUGGAAUCGCUAGUAAUCGUAGAUCAGCAUGCUACGGUGAAUACGUUCCCGGGUCU
rnacentral:rRNA from 1 species